UCCAAAGCACAAGACUAGAAAGUCAGACAUAUUUGAGUUCGCCUCCUGAUUAUUCAUUUACUUGCUGUGUGCCCUUGGGAAAAUUGCUUAACCUCUCUGUGCUUGUUUAAUACGUGGAAAACUAGAGCUCAUAAUAAUAAUACCUACCAGCCAGGCAUGGUGGCUCACGCCUAUAAUCCCAGCACUUCGGGAGGCCAAGGCAGGUGGAUUGCUUGAUCCCAGGAGUUCCAGCCUGGGCAACAUGGGGAAAUCCCAUCUCUACCAAAAAUACAAAAAUUAGCCGGCAUAGUGAUGCAUGCCUGUGGGCCCAGCUACUCAAGAGGCUGAGGUGGGAGGAUCACUGGAGCCUGGGAAGUUGAGGCUGCAGUGAACUGUGAUCGUUCCACUGCACUCCAGCCUGGGUGACAGAGUGAGACUCUGUCUCAAAAAAAAAAAUUAAAAUUAAAAAAAUAAAAAUAAAAAUGAUACUUCCCUCUCAAGCUUCAUGUAAGAGCGAAACAAGAGGAUGAACGCAAAGCCCCUGGCGGAGUGCUGGGCACACGGAAAGGACUGAACCCAUUGUUACUACUAACUGUUGGUGAUGGUUGUUAACUGCGCAUGACCACCAACAAUGGAAGAUUGUUGUUCUAAAAUCUGCAUCCCUUAGUUUGGCAAAAUUUCGGUGGUGCUAGCAAACCAGGUGCAUUCCUUCUGGCUUUUCAACCGACAAGUCUCAGCAGGAUGAAAACAGUGCUAGUAGGCAUGACAGAUGCAUCUUUACUGAAUACACAAAGUCAGCUGUUGUUCUCCAGGGGCUCUGCAGAAACACUGGAGAGAGCUCGGAGCUCUGCAGGCUUCCUCCACCCUCCCAGCAAGCCCGGCCCUGCCUGGCUCCAGAUCAGUCAUGCCUGGCUGGGUUUAAAGAGCUGCAACCCAUCUGAACGUAGAAGGUGGAUGCAGAGGAUCUGACAGGGAACUGACAUUCUUAUGGGAGGGCAGUGGAGCCAUUAGAUAGAAGGAGCCUGGGUCACUGAAUGACUAUGUGGAGCAGAGUCCCACCUACCCUUUCCUCAACCAGCAUUAGAUUGUAACAUAAG
rnacentral:lncRNA from 10 species